rnacentral:lncRNA from 4 species
UCCGCAUCCGCCUCCUCAUCCCUAAGCCCCGUCACCUUUGCUGAACUCAGAGUCCCCAAGCAGCUCGAGGAAGGGAGGGAGGAUAGGAGUAGCUGGGGGAAAGGGGAAGGAGGGGAUCUAGAACUCACCAGUUCUUGGAAGGGCGACACGGAGGGGGAGAUCAUGCUCACCGGCGCUUGGGGGUGCGGCAUUAGAGGGGGACCUCAAACUCAUCACCGGUCACUCGGGGAGGAGAGAAAGGAAAGAAAGAGCUCAUCGCCGGCCACACUAUGUGGGGGCAAGAGUGUGGGGACAAGAGAGAAGGAGGAGAGGAAGAGAGGAGGAAGAAGAAGAUGAUGUGGAUUUA